rnacentral:rRNA from 1 species
UACGGGGGGGGCAAGCGUUGUUCGGAAUUACUGGGCGUAAAGGGCUCGUAGGCGGCCAACUAAGUCAGACGUGAAAUCCCUCGGCUUAACCGGGGAACUGCGUCUGAUACUGGUUGGCUUGAAUCCGGGAGAGGGAUGUGGAAUUCCAGGUGUAGCGGUGAAAUGCGUAGAUAUCUGGAGGAACACCGGUGGCGAAGGCGGCAUCCUGGACCGACACUGACACUGAGGAGCGAAAGCCAGGGGAGCAAACGGG